UACAGAGGCGGCAAGCGUUGUUCGGAAUCACUGGGCAUAAAGGGCGCGUAGGUGGUCAGGUAGGUCAAGAGUGAAAUACCCCGGCUCGACUGGGGACCCGCUCUUGAAACCUCCUGGCUGGAGCAGAAGAGGGGAGAGUGGAACUCGCGGUGGAGCGGUGAAAUGCGUAGAUAUCGCGAGGAACGCCAGCGGCGAAGGCGACUCUCUGGCUUCUUGCUGACGCUGAGGCGCGAAAGCUGGGGGAGCAAACAGG
rnacentral:rRNA from 1 species